GGAGCGGAAACCGAAAAGCUUAUAGAGUAGGUA
rfam:Bacteroides sp. CAG:702 genomic scaffold, scf566